rnacentral:rRNA from 1 species
AGAGUUUGAUCCUGGCUCAGGAUGAACGCUGGCGGCGUGCCUUAUACAUGCAAGUCAUACGGGCCGUUAUUUUUAAAUUGCAAAUUGUUAAUAAUGGCCAGUGGCGAACGGCUGAGUAACACGUGGGAACUUCCUUUAAGUUCGGAAUAACUCUCCGAAAGGAGAGCUAAUACCGGAUGUGCUCGCAAGAGCAAAGUCCGCCUCUGGCGGACGCUUAAAGCAAGGCCUGCGCACCAUCAGGUAGUUGGCGAGGUAAAAGCUCACCAAGCCUACGACGGUUAGAGGGCCCGAGAGGGUGUACCUCCAGACGGGGACUGCGACACGGCCCCGACUCCUACGGGAGGCAGCAGUAGGGAAUAUUGGACAAUGGGCGAAAGCCUGAUCCAGCGACGCCGCGUGCGGGAUGAAGGCCUUAGGGUUGUAAACCGCUUUUGUUGGGGAACAAUUUUUGAGCGUACCCGACGAAUAAGAGGUUGCUAACUCUGUGCCAGCAGCAGCGGUAAUACAGAGACCUCAAGCGUUAUCCGGAUUCAUUGGGCGUAAAGCGUGCCGAUCGGCUGUUUGGAAAGUCUUCUGUUAAAGCCUGCGGCUCAACCGUAGAAUCGCAGAAGAAACUUCUAGACUAGAGGGGCAAAGAGGUGCUUGGAACAAAUGGAGUAGCAGUGAAAUGCGUUGAUAUCAUUUGGAACACCAAAUGCGAAGGCAGAGCACUGGGUGCCACCUGACGCUGCUAGGACGAAAGCGUGGGUAGCGAAUGGGAUUAGAUACCCCAGUAGUCCACGCCGUAAACGAUGAUGACUAGUUAUUUGAGAGUGUCGACCCUCUUGAGUGACGUAGCUAACGCGUUAAGUCAUCCGCCUGGGGAGUACGGUCGCAAGACUAAAACUCAAAGGAAUUGACGGGGACCCGCACAAGCGGUGGAGCAUGUGGUUUAAUUCGACAAUAAGCGAGGAACCUUACCAGGGUUUGACAUGUACCUGCAAAUCCGCAGAAACGCGGACUCCUUCGAGGGUGGUACACAGAUGCUGCACGGUUGUCGUCAGCUCGUGUCGUGAGAUGUUGCCUUAAGUGGUAUAACGAGCGCAACCCCCAUUGAUCGUUUUAUUGUAUCUAUCAAAACUGCCAGCGUUUAAGCUGGAGGAAGGUGGGGAUGACGUCAAAUCAGCGUGGCUCUUACAUCCUGGGCUACACACAUGCUACAAUGGAUUGUUUACAGAGGGACGCAAUAUCGUAAGAUGGAGCAAAUCCCCAAAACUGUCCCAAGUUCGGAUUGAGGGCUGAAAUUCGCCCUCAUGAAGUUGGAAUCGCUAGUAAUCGUGGAUCAGCCUCGCCACGGUGAAUACGUUCUCGGGUUUUGUACACACCGCCCGUCACAUCAUGGAAGUCGUUAGUACUUAAAG